CAACACUUACUUUGUCAAUACAGGCGUAAAUGUUGAGCAAGAUUGCCUGCUAAGAUGGGUAAAUUAAAGCAUGUUAAUUCCAUCCAUCCAAGUACUCAGCAAAAGUUAUUCUUCAAAGACUAUUUGCGAUAAUAGAAUGACGAUUGACGAGUCGAAAAGAAUGACGAAUGCAAAGUCCAGUUUGAGCAGCUGAACAAUUUUAUAUCAUAAAAAUAAAACAAUCACCAGAUUUGCGAAGAUAUCAUUUGAAUCACCAAAUUUUCCAUCCUUACUUGCCAUUGCCGACAAUAAAAUACGUUGAACUACAACUCUCCAUUUCAUACAGUCAACGAAACAGUGGAUGUAUAUAAUUAUAGACGGAAUUGAUCAUAUGUAUAAAUUGCUGUAUUAAUUUUAGAUUCUGGAACUGGAAUAGAUAAACAAUCUCGUUCUGCUCGUUCAAGCAAGCUA